GGUUGUGGCUCAGUGGCAGAGCACUUGCCUAGCAUGUGGGAGGCACUGGGUUCAAUUUUCACCACCA
rnacentral:tRNA from 1 species